rnacentral:misc_RNA from 1 species
GAUGAAGAACGCAGCGAAAUGCGAUACGUAAUGUGAAUUGCAGAAUUCAGUGAAUCAUCGAAUCUUUGAACGCAUAUUGCGCUCUCUGGUAUUCCGGAGAGCAUGCUUGUUUGAGUAUCAGUAAACACCUCAACUUCCAUAUGUUUUUUGAAAUGGGAGUUGGACUUGAGUGAUCCCAACGCUUUUCCUCACCGAAAAGUGGCGGGUUACUUGAAAUGCAGGUGCAGCUGGACUUUUCUCUGAGCUAUAAGCAUAUCUAUUUAGUCUGCCUAAAAAACAGAUUAUUACCUUUGCUGCAGCUAACAUAAAGGAGAUUAGUUCUUGUGCUGACUGAUGCAGGAUUCACAAAGACGGCUUCGGCCGACUUUGUAAACUCGAUCUCAAAUCAAGUAAGACUACCCGCUGAACUUAAGCAUAUCAAUAAGCGGAGGA